GCGCCUGUAGCUCAGCGGAUAGAGCUUCGGUCUUCGGAACCGAGAGUCGGGGGUUCGAAUCCCUCCAGGCGUGCCA
rnacentral:tRNA from 2 species